rnacentral:rRNA from 1 species
UUUAAGUGAACGUCUCUGGAGUCAGAAGGAUAAGCAGGGCUGAGCUUGGUUAGAGUUUAGAUGGGAGACCUCCAGGAAUACCAGGGGUGUCAAUUAGAC